GGGCAGAACCAUAGAAGAGAGGUGGGGUGAGGCUCUAGGAUCAGGCCACUAUGGGAUGGGCCUACAAGUGAGGUCUAGGAUUCACUUUUAGGUUGCUCAGUGACCUGCCAUUAGCAUUUUCUGUUGCUUAACUUUGCUGGUUGAACUGCCUUUCUCACUGCCUGUGCUUUGGGCCUUCCUCUCUCUUGUGUACAUAUGUCCCACAGCCAGAGGGUAACACCGAACCUUUGACAGCAGGGCUACACUGCAGCGGGUCGGCAGUGAGGAGAGCAUGUUGCUGAGGCCACUGAGGCACCCAACUGGCACAGCAGACAAAUGGCAUGUUCUCUGGAACUCAAGGAACUGGAAUCAGUUAAUUUUGCCAUACGGGAGAUGAGAAGCCUGUGACAUUCGAGAAGGAAAUCACAUGAAUCGAAGUCAUGGGCUACUUUUCUGGCCACUCAGCUUCGGUGUCCCCCAAUCCACUUAUAACCACCAUCCAUGGCCAAUCCACCCAGUCUGAUGACUUAUUACAUCAGCUCUUCCCACAUGGAGUUCAACUUCCCUUGAGGUUUCCUCAGCCAUCAAGGUCAACUUCAGCCAUCAAGGUCACAAACUCAAAUUUACCUAGAGGGCCACGCAGGUGUUCUAUGAGGCUCAGUGCAUUGCCCAUACCUUGCUUAAUGCCCAUCCCAAGCAUGAGGAAGAAGCCCACACUCAGUUCCGGCCAGAGUAGCCACAUUAGAAUGCAGGCUUAUUUCUGUCUGGCCUUUGUUUAAAAACAGCUGGAAAUCAAGUUUUUGGUGAACUCUCUCAACUUUUAAAUGGUAGAUUAAAGAUUUAAAAAAUACCGUGUGGCCAAGUGAAACUGAACCAUCAGGCCAGAUUUGGCAUUCAGGUUGCCAAUUUACAGAGUCGGCUCCAGGUUUUCUAGGAAUAUCUCCUGAAGAAAAGGGGAGGGUCAUCCAGAGGUCCACAGUCGAGGUCACCUGGGAGAGGCACAUGUGAUACCACUCAGCUAUCUGCAUUCGUACCUUAUAGUCUUGUGAUAUUUAAAGCACACACUCAUGCACAUGCACGAGUCUGUGUUUUGUUCAUUUGCUUGUUCAAUUCAGUGUUUAUGAAACACGGUCUGUGUUUUGUUCAUUUGCUUGUUCAAUUCAGUGUUUAUGAAGCUUAUUUAACCAUCUAAUUCAUUCUCACAGCAUAUCUGUCAUUGGCAUUUUUCUUACAACUCUGACCUCAGAGUUAGACAAAGCUAUAAAAUACUCAACUGUCUAUUAAAUAUCUGUAGGAGUUUGGGUCCCAAGAAGAUUAGUGAAACUAUUCAGUAGAGAAUAGAAACAGAUUAGUUGAGUUUAAUCCACAAAUGUGGCAGACUGGCUGGGAGAUGCCUGCCUCUGUGACAUCUAGAAUGACAUAGUAGCUACUUAGUGGUCAAGUAUCUUUUAACCUUGGGAGGAUUUAUUGUCAAAACCAGAGAUGUUUAGGAGACUUAAAUCCCAUAGUAUUAAUACUUUUGUUGUGAUGAUGUAUGAAAUUGGUAUUUUAUAUACUUGUAAAGAAAAAUUAACAGAAUAAAGUGACAAAAAGUU